GCUGGUCUUGAAAUCACAGAGAUCUGCUUGUUUUUGCCUCCGGAGUCCUGGGAUUAAAGUUCUGCUUCAGCCAGCCUCUCAUCAGAUGACUUCUGACAUCUGCCAUUUGACAAAAACCUUCCGAUAGCUUUGCUUACUGGCUCCAGUAAAUUUAUCGCCCAAGGAAACUUUUACCUUACAAAUAGAGAUACUCUUCCCUCAAGAUCCGUCAGCCUUCUUCCUCUGCACAUUCUCCUCCUGAUGACUGCAAAAGGGAUUCAGAUUCACUAGAAGAUUUUGGGCCAAGGUUAACAGG